rnacentral:sRNA from 1 species
CGGUAAGGCCGCCUCCGCGGGGCUGUGGGAAGCUUGGGCUGUCCCAGGACCGUCAGUCUCCUCCUCUGACCCUCCCUUUCCCCUUGUGUGUGGGGCCGCCGUCCCACCCCCACCUCGCCCGAGUCCGGGGCGGCCCCGGUGUCCCCUCCGAGCCUGCUGCACUCCACGUCCCCCUACCAGGGCUCCAGCCCCCAGGGAAAUCUCCGGCCAGGCCCGCCCAGGAGCCAGAUCCAGGCUCCUGGAAGAACCAUGUCCGGCAGCUACUGGUCAUGCCAGGCACACACUGCUGCCCAAGAGGAGCUGCUGUUUGAAUUAUCUGUGAAUGUUGGGAAGAGGAAUGCCAGAGCUGCCGGCUGAAAAUUACCCAACCAAGAGAAAUCUGCAGGAUGGACUUUCUGGUCCUCUUCUUGUUCUACCUGGCUUCGGUGCUGAUGGGUCUUGUUCUUAUCUGCGUCUGCUCGAAAACCCAUAGCUUGAAAGGCCUGGCCAGGGGAGGAGCACAGGAAGCUGAGGCAGGAGGAUCCCUUGAGCCAGGAUUCUGAAGUUGCCGUGAGCUAUGAUCACGCCACUGCACUCCAGCCUGGACUACAGAGUGAGACCCUGUCUCAACAACAACAAAAAAGAUGCCACUUAACAUCAUUGAUGGAUUUAUUUCGUUGAUGGCAGUUGUGGGAUAUUCCACAGCCUCUGUGUGUGUGGGUUUUGUGUUCCUGCUGAAAGUCCUCUUGCGGUGGUGCUUUGAGAGAAGAGGUUGCUGUUUUCCUCUGGAUUAGAUGCCUGCGACUGGGCAUGGAUGUGAGCAGGGUCCGCCUGGGG